rnacentral:tRNA from 1 species
GCCCCAGUGGCCUAAUGGAUAAGGCACUGGCCUCCAUGCCAGGGAUUGAGCUUUCGAGUCCCUUCUGGGGUG